UCUUAGCUUGCUAAGGCCGAUGGCGACCGGCGCACGGGUGAGUAACACGUAUCCAACCUUUCGUCUACUCUUGGACAGCCUUCUGAAAGGAAGAUUAAUACAAGAUGGCAUCAUGAGUCCGCAUGUUCACAUGAUUAAAGGUAUUCCGGUAGACGAUGGGGAUGCGUUCCAUUAGAUAGUAGGCGGGGUAACGGCCCACCUAGUCUUCGAUGGAUAGGGGUUCUGAGAGGAAGGUCCCCCACAUUGGAACUGAGACACGGUCCAAACUCCUACGGGAGGCAGCAGUGAGGAAUAUUGGUCAAUGGGCGAGAGCCUGAACCAGUCAAGUAGCGUGAAGGAUGACUGCCCUAUGGGUUGUAAACUUCUUUUAUAAAGGAAUAAAGUCGGGUAUGCAUACCCGUUUGCAUGUACUUUAUGAAUAAGGAUCGGCUAACUCCGUGCCAGCAGCCGCGGUAAUACGGAGGAUCCGAGCGUUAUCCGGAUUUAUUGGGUUUAAAGGGAGCGUAGAUGGAUGUUUAAGUCAGUUGUGAAAGUUUGCGGCUCAACCGUAAAAUUGCAGUUGAUACUGGAUAUCUUGAGUGCAGUUGAGGCAGGCGGAAUUCGUGGUGUAGCGGUGAAAUGCUUAGAUAUCACGAAGAACUCCGAUUG
rnacentral:rRNA from 1 species